ensembl:ncRNA T09A12.6 ncRNA
CCUACAAACUAAUAAGUAUUCACGGACUCUUCUUCACUCCUGUGCGUAGUGUCCUUAGAGUGUUUGUCAAUCCCUCGGUUUCCACCUUGUC